rnacentral:sRNA from 1 species
UAUUCUGCCCUACAGGGAAGGAUGAGAAGCUUCGACUAAGGUUCGACUCGAGCGAAGCGAGAGAACGUUGCCGCUGGCAAUGGCCCGAAGGCGAGGCGCUUUAGCGCCAAGUAAUUCUUCCCCCACCACUG